GUUCUCUAACGAGUCUUCACAGCAGCAAAAACUGCCGUUGUCUCCUUGCUUAGAUUGAAAUGAGUUGAUGAGAUGCCAGCAAAAGGAAAAGUAAACCUCAAGUCACAUAUUGCUAUCUCAGUAAGUCACAGAACAAAAAAAGAAUGGGUCUCCGUGUCUCUUCCAGUUAUUGUUUUAAUAUUAAGAAAACAUAAGGAACAUAUUUUCCUUGAAAAAUAGAUGUUCGGAAACAUUUUUAUCUAUUACAUUGCUUGACAUCAUUUGAUUGCUAUAUUAUUUAUAAUGAUGUCCUUGAAGCAAAAUUUUCAUUUUUCUGUUGUUGUAGCAUCAAUGCAUACAUAACGAACAAUAAAAUAGUGACUCAAUAUAGAA